ensembl:lncRNA
CUGACCAGGACAAGACUCAUUAUAGAGCUGACCAGGACAAGACUCAUUAUAAAACUGACCAGGACAAGACUCAUUAUAGAGCUGACCAGGACAAGACUCAUUAUAAAACUGACCAGGACAAGACUCAUCAUAGAGCUGACCAGGACAAGACUGGACAAUACUCAUUAUAGAUUUGGACAGGGCAGGACUGGACAAGACUCAUUAUAGAACUGGACAGGUCCCGUGCCCUUUCCAGUUGGUGAAAUUUAUGGAAAUAAACCCUCACUGUUGGACAAGGCUGACUGUCCCAGAGAGUAAAGUGAUGUCCUCAGCUGUUAUUACAGUCUAAUGGGACAGUGAACAUAGUGAAAAUAGGAAGAUAUGUCCUCAGCUGUUAUUACAGUCUAAUUGGACAGUGAACAUAAUGAAAAGAGGAAGAUAUGUCCUCAGCUGUUAUUACAGUCUAAUGGGACAGUGAACAUAGUGAAAAGAGGAAGAUAUGUCCUCAGCUGUUAUUACAGUCUAAUGGGACAGUGAACAUAGUGAAAAGAGGAAGAUAUGUCCUCAGCUGUUAUUACAGUCUAAUGGGACAGUGAACAUAGUGAAAAGAGGAAGAUAUGUCCUCAGCUGUUAUUACAGUCUAAUGAGACAGUGAACAUAAUGAAAAGAGGAAGAUAUGUCCUCAGCUGUUAUUACAGUCUAAUGAGACAGUGAACAUAAUGAAAAGAGGAAGAUAUGUCCUCAGCUGUUAUUACAGUCUAAUGAGACAGUGAACAUAGUGAAGAGGAAGGGAUGUCCUCAGUUGUACUGCUGCUGUUCUGUUCUGUGAGAUACAGGCGCUCCAAGGCUUUCCACAGUGUGUCAUAUCCUUUUGGAACUACUACAUUAGUCAUGACACUUCCUGUCCUCUUGUCAACCAUGCUUCUGAUCCAGAACACACCCACUGAUCCCGCCCACAUGUUCCAGUUAGUUUCACUGUGUUCAUCUCUGUUUUCUCUGUGUUUAUUGGUCCUGGUUGGCCCUGGUUGGUCGGUCCUGGUUGGUUGUUCUUGGUUGGUUAUGUCAUUGACAGCACAUGUCCCAUUUGAGUCUGAGCCAUGAAGGUGAUGUGUUUUGGCUCAGUCUAUUUCCUUGUUUUUAGAGGACGAUUCUGGAAUAAAAGAGGUUGAGUGAGGAUAUGGCUGCUUGUCUUUCCUCAGUUUCAAGGCCUUACCCAGGUCUUACCCAGGCCUUACCCUUACCCAGGUCUUGCCCAGGCCUUACCCAGGCCUUACCCAGGACUUUGCCAUGCCUUACCCAGGCCUUACCCAGGCCUUUCCUUUCCCAGGCCUAAGUAAGGUCUUAUCCUUUCCCAUGCCUUACCCUUUCCCAUGCCUUACCCAGGCCUUAGCCAGGCCUUACCCAGGCCUUACCCUUUCCCAUGCCUUACCCAGGCCUUACCCAGGCCUUACCCUUUCCCAGGCCUUUCCCAGGCCUUUCCCAUGCCUUUCCCAGGCCUUACCCUUUCCCCUGCCUUACCCAGGUCUUACCCAGGCCUUACCCUUUCCCAUGCCUUACCCAGGCCUUACCCAGGCCUUACCCUUUCCCAUGCCUUACCCAGGCCUUUCCCAUGCCUUUCCCAGGCCUUUCCCAGGCCUUACCCAGGCCUUACCCAGGCCUUACCCUUUCCCAUGCCUUACCCAGGCCUUACCCAGGCCUUAC